GACCGCGUAGCUCAGUUGGCAGAGCAUUGGACUAGUAUUCCAAAUUAUAGGUCGUAGAUUCGAUUCACCCACCGUGGUCA